rnacentral:rRNA from 1 species
AGUCAAGUAAUUAAGUGCAUGUGGUGGAUGCCUUGGCAGUCAGAGGCGAUGAAAGACGUGAUAGCCUGCGAAAAGCUCCGGGGAGGCGGCAAAUAUCCUUUGAUCCGGAGAUGUCUGAAUGGGGGAACCCACCUACUUUAAGGUAGGUAUUGCAACAUGAAUACAUAGUGUUGCAAGGCGAACGAGGGGAAGUGAAACAUCUCAGUACCCUUAGGAAAAGAAAUCAAUUGAGAUUCCCUCAGUAGCGGCGAGCGAACGGGGAUCAGCCCAUUAAGUUAUGUGUGUUUUAGUGGAACGCUCUGGGAAGUGCGAACGUAGAGGGUGAUAUUCCCGUACACGAAAGGGCACACAUAAUGAUGACGAGUAGGGCGAGGCACGUGAAACCUUGUCUGAAUAUGGGGGGACCAUCCUCCAAGGCUAAAUACUCCUGACUGACCGAUAGUGAACCAGUACCGUGAGGGAAAGGCGAAAAGAACCCCUGUGAGGGGAGUGAAAUAGAUCCUGAAACCGCAUGCAUACAAGCAGUGGGAGCACCUUCGUGGUGUGACUGCGUACCUUUUGUAUAAUGGGUCAGCGACUUAUAUUCAGUAGCGAGGUUAACCGUAUAGGGGAGCCGUAGAGAAAUCGAGUCUUAAUAGGGCGUUUAGUUGCUGGGUAUAGACCCGAAACCAGGCGAUCUAUCCAUGAGCAGGUUGAAGGUUGGGUAACACUAACUGGAGGACCGAACCCACUGUCGUUGAAAAGCCAGGGGAUGACUUGUGGAUAGGGGUGAAAGGCUAAUCAAGCCUGGUGAUAGCUGGUUCUCCCCGAAAGCUAUUUAGGUAGCGCCUCGGACGAAUACCAUAGGGGGUAGAGCACUGUUUCGGCUAGGGGGUCAUCCCGACUUACCAAACCGAUGCAAACUCCGAAUACCUAUGAGUACUAUCCGGGAGACAGACUGCGGGUGCUAACGUCCGUAGUCAAGAGGAAAACAAUCCAGACCGCCAGCUAAGGCCCCAAAAUCAUAGUUAAGUGGGAAACGAUGUGGGAAGGCAUAGACAGCUAGGAGGUUGGCUUAGAAGCAGCCACCCUUUAAAGAAAGCGUAAUAGCUCACUAGUCGAGUCGGCCUGCGCGGAAGAUGUAACGGGGCUAAAACUAUGUGCCGAAGCUGCGGAUGUAUACUUUGUAUACGUGGUAGGGGAGCGUUCUGUAAGCCGAUGAAGGUGUGUUGAGAAGCAUGCUGGAGGUAUCAGAAGUGCGAAUGCUGACGUGAGUAACGACAAAACGGGUGAAAAACCCGUUCGCCGAAAGACCAAGGGUUCCAGUCCAACGUUAAUCGGGGCUGGGUGAGUCGACCCCUAAGGCGAGGCCGAAAGGCGUAGUCGAUGGGAAAAUGGUUAAUAUUCCAUUACUUCUGUGUAAUGCGAUGAGAGGACGGAGAAGGCUAAAUCAGCCUGGCGUUGGUUGUCCAGGUGGAAGGAUGUAGGCAUGUAUCUUAGGCAAAUCCGGGGUACUCUAUGCUGAGAUCUGAUAGCAAGCUGUACUUGUACAGCGAAGUGGUUGAUGCCAUGCUUCCAGGAAAAGUCUCUAAGCUUCAGUUACACAGGAAUCGUACCCGAAACCGACACAGGUGGUCAGGUCGAGUAGACCAAGGCGCUUGAGAGAACUCUGCUGAAGGAACUAGGCAAAAUGGUACCGUAACUUCGGGAGAAGGUACGCUGUUGUUGGUGAUGGAACUCGCUUCCUGAGCUGACGACAGCCGCAGAAACCAGGCCGCUGCAACUGUUUAUUAAAAACAUAGCACUCUGCAAACACGAAAGUGGACGUAUAGGGUGUGAUGCCUGCCCGGUGCUGGAAGGUUAAUUGAUGGGGUUAGCGUAAGCGAAGCUCUUGAUCGAAGCCCCAGUAAACGGCGGCCGUAACUAUAACGGUCCUAAGGUAGCGAAAUUCCUUGUCGGGUAAGUUCCGACCUGCACGAAUGGCAUAAUGAUGGCGGCGCUGUCUCCAGCAGAGGCUCAGUGAAAUCGAAAUCGCUGUGAAGAUGCAGUGUACCCGCGGCUAGACGGAAAGACCCCGUGAACCUUUACUGCAGCUUGACACUGAACUUUGACCUUACUUGUGUAGGAUAGGUGGGAGGCUUUGAAGCUGGAACGCUAGUUCCAGUGGAGCCGUCCUUGAAAUACCACCCUGGUAAUGUUGAGGUUCUAACUCUGUCCCGUGAUCCGGGACGAGGACCGUGUCUGGUGGGUAGUUUGACUGGGGCGGUCUCCUCCUAAAGAGUAACGGAGGAGUACGAAGGUGCGCUCAGCGUGGUCGGAAAUCACGCGUAGAGUAUAAAGGCAAAAGCGCGCUUAACUGCGAGACCCACAAGUCGAGCAGGUACGAAAGUAGGUCUUAGUGAUCCGGUGGUUCUGUAUGGAAGGGCCAUCGCUCAACGGAUAAAAGGUACUCUGGGGAUAACAGGCUGAUACCGCCCAAGAGUUCAUAUCGACGGCGGUGUUUGGCACCUCGAUGUCGGCUCAUCUCAUCCUGGGGCUGAAGCAGGUCCCAAGGGUAUGGCUGUUCGCCAUUUAAAGAGGUACGCGAGCUGGGUUUAGAACGUCGUGAGACAGUUCGGUCCCUAUCUACCGUGGGCGCUGGAAAUUUGAGAGGAUCUGCUCCUAGUACGAGAGGACCAGAGUGGACGAACCUCUGGUGUACCGGUUGUGACGCCAGUCGCAUCGCCGGGUAGCUAUGUUCGGAAGGGAUAACCGCUGAAAGCAUCUAAGCGGGAAGCCUACCUCAAGAUAAGAUUUCCCUAGGACUUUAUGUCCUCUAAAGAGCCGUUCGAGACUAGGACGUUGAUAGGUUGGAUGUGGAAGCAUAGUGAUAUGUGAAGCUGACCAAUACUAAUUGCUCGUGAGGCUUGACUAU